rnacentral:rRNA from 1 species
CAAGCGUUGUCCGGAAUUAUUGGGCGUAAAGAGCUCGUAGGCGGUCUGUCGCGUCGGCUGUGAAAACUCGAGGCUCAACCCCGAGCCUGCAGUCGAUACGGGCAGACUAGAGUGCGGUAGGGGAGACUGGAAUUCCUGGUGUAGCGGUGAAAUGCGCAGAUAUCAGGAGGAACACCGGUGGCGAAGGCGGGUCUCUGGGCCGUAACUGACGCUGAGGAGCGAAAGCGUGGGGAGCAAACAGG